GACGAACGCUGGCGGCGUGCCUGAUACAUGCAAGUAGAACGCUGAAGGAGGAGCUUGCUUCUCUGGAUGAGUUGCGAACGGGUGAGUAACGCGUAGGUAACCUGCCUGGUAGCGGGGGAUAACUAUUGGAAACGAUAGCUAAUACCGCAUAAUAGAAGAUGUUGCAUGACAUUUGCUUAAAAGUUGCAAUUGCAUCACUACCAGAUGGACCUGCGUUGUAUUAGCUAGUUGGUGGGGUAACGGCUCACCAAGGCGACGAUACAUAGCCGACCUGAGAGGGUGAUCGGCCACACUGGGACUGGAACACGGCCCAAACUCCUACGGGAGGCAGCAGUAGGGAAUCUUCGGCAAUAGACGGAAGGCUGACCGAGCAACGCCGCGUGAGUGAAGAAGGUUUUCGGAUCGUAAAGCUCUGUUGUAAGAGAAGAACGAGUGUGAGAGUGGAAAGUUCACACUGUGACGGUAUCUUACCAGAAAGGGACGGCUAACUACGUG
rnacentral:rRNA from 1 species